rnacentral:rRNA from 1 species
GGGUUGUGAGGUUAAGCGACUAAGCGUACACGGUGGAUGCCCUGGCAGUCAGAGGCGAUGAAGGACGUGCUAAUCUGCGAAAAGCGUCGGUAAGGUGAUAUGAACCGUUAUAACCGGCGAUGUCCGAAUGGGGAAACCCAGUGUGAUUCGUCACACUAUCGUUAACUGAAUACAUAGGUUAACGAGGCGAACCGGGGGAACUGAAACAUCUAAGUACCCCGAGGAAAAGAAAUCAACCGAGAUUCCCCCAGUAGCGGCGAGCGAACGGGGAGCAGCCCAGAGUCUGAAUCAGCUUGUGUGUUAGUGGAACGGUCUGGAAAGUCCGACGGUACAGGGUGAUAGUCCCGUACACCAAAAUGCACAGGCUGUGAACUCGAAGAGUAGGGCGGGACACGUGGUAUCCUGUCUGAAUAUGGGGGGACCAUCCUCCAAGGCUAAAUACUCCUGACUGACCGAUAGUGAACCAGUACCGUGAGGGAAAGGCGAAAAGAACCCCGGCGAGGGGAGUGAAAAAGAACCUGAAACCGUGUACGUACAAGCAGUGGGAGCACCUUCGGGUGUGACUGCGUACCUUUUGUAUAAUGGGUCAGCGACUUAUAUUCUGUAGCAAGGUUAACCGUAUAGGGGAGCCGCAGGGAAACCGAGUCUUAACUGGGCGUUAAGUUGCAGGGUAUAGACCCGAAACCCGGUGAUCUAGCCAUGGGCAGGUUGAAGGUUGGGUAACACUAACUGGAGGACCGAACCGACUAAUGUUGAAAAAUUAGCGGAUGACUUGUGGCUGGGGGUGAAAGGCCAAUCAAACCGGGAGAUAGCUGGUUCUCCCCGAAAGCUAUUUAGGUAGCGCCUCGUGAACUCAUCUUCGGGGUAGAGCACUGUUUCGGCUAGGGGGUCAUCCCGACUUACCAACCCGAUGCAAACUACGAAUACCGAAGAAUGUUAUCACGGGAGACACACGGCGGGUGCUAACGUCCGUCGUGAAGAGGGAAACAACCCAGACCGCCAGCUAAGGUCCCAAAGUCAUGGUUAAGUGGGAAACGAUGUGGGAAGGCACAGACAGCCAGGAUGUUGGCUUAGAAGCAGCCAUCAUUUAAAGAAAGCGUAAUAGCUCACUGGUCGAGUCGGCCUGCGCGGAAGAUGUAACGGGGCUAAACCAUGCACCGAAGCUGCGGCAGCGACACUAUGUGUUGUUGGGUAGGGGAGCGUUCUGUAAGCCUGCGAAGGUGUGCUGUGAGGCAUGCUGGAGGUAUCAGAAGUGCGAAUGCUGACAUAAGUAACGAUAAAGCGGGUGAAAAGCCCGCUCGCCGGAAGACCAAGGGUUCCUGUCCAACGUUAAUCGGGGCAGGGUGAGUCGACCCCUAAGGCGAGGCCGAAAGGCGUAGUCGAUGGGAAACAGGUUAAUAUUCCUGUACUUGGUGUUACUGCGAAGGGGGGACGGAGAAGGCUAUGUUAGCCGGGCGACGGUUGUCCCGGUUUAAGCAUGUAGGCUGGUUGUCCAGGCAAAUCCGGAUAAUCAAGGCUGAGGUGUGAUGACGAGGCACUACGGUGCUGAAGUAACAAAUGCCCUGCUUCCAGGAAAAGCCUCUAAGCAUCAGGUAACAUCAAAUCGUACCCCAAACCGACACAGGUGGUCAGGUAGAGAAUACCAAGGCGCUUGAGAGAACUCGGGUGAAGGAACUAGGCAAAAUGGUGCCGUAACUUCGGGAGAAGGCACGCUGGUGUGUAGGUGAAGUCCCUGCGGAUGGAGCUGAGACCAGUCGAAGAUACCAGCUGGCUGCAACUGUUUAUUAAAAACACAGCACUGUGCAAACACGAAAGUGGACGUAUACGGUGUGACGCCUGCCCGGUGCCGGAAGGUUAAUUGAUGGGGUUAUCCGUAAGGAGAAGCUCUUGAUCGAAGCCCCGGUAAACGGCGGCCGUAACUAUAACGGUCCUAAGGUAGCGAAAUUCCUUGUCGGGUAAGUUCCGACCUGCACGAAUGGCGUAAUGAUGGCCAGGCUGUCUCCACCCGAGACUCAGUGAAAUUGAACUCGCUGUGAAGAUGCAGUGUACCCGCGGCAAGACGGAAAGACCCCGUGAACCUUUACUAUAGCUUGACACUGAACAUUGAGCCUUGAUGUGUAGGAUAGGUGGGAGGCUUUGAAGCGUGGACGCCAGUCUGCGUGGAGCCAACCUUGAAAUACCACCCUUUAAUGUUUGAUGUUCUAACGUUGGCCCCUUACCGGGGUUGCGGACAGUGUCUGGUGGGUAGUUUGACUGGGGCGGUCUCCUCCCAAAGCGUAACGGAGGAGCACGAAGGUUAGCUAAUCCUGGUCGGACAUCAGGAGGUUAGUGCAAUGGCAUAAGCUAGCUUGACUGCGAGCGUGACGGCGCGAGCAGGUGCGAAAGCAGGUCAUAGUGAUCCGGUGGUUCUGAAUGGAAGGGCCAUCGCUCAACGGAUAAAAGGUACUCCGGGGAUAACAGGCUGAUACCGCCCAAGAGUUCAUAUCGACGGCGGUGUUUGGCACCUCGAUGUCGGCUCAUCACAUCCUGGGGCUGAAGUAGGUCCCAAGGGUAUGGCUGUUCGCCAUUUAAAGUGGUACGCGAGCUGGGUUUAGAACGUCGUGAGACAGUUCGGUCCCUAUCUGCCGUGGGCGCUGGAGAAUUGAGGGGGGCUGCUCCUAGUACGAGAGGACCGGAGUGGACGCAUCACUGGUGUUCGGGUUGUCAUGCCAAUGGCACUGCCCGGUAGCUAAAUGCGGAAGAGAUAAGUGCUGAAAGCAUCUAAGCACGAAACUUGCCCCGAGAUGAGUUCUCCCUGAGACUUUAAGUCUCCUGAAGGAACGUUGAAGACGACGACGUUGAUAGGCCGGGUGUGUAAGCGCAGCGAUGCGUUGAGCUAACCGGUACUAAUGAACCGUGAGGCUUAACCUUACAACGCCGAAG